GUCAAGCGGUAGAGAGGUGCUUGCACCUCUUGAGAGCGGCGGACGGGUGAGUAAAGCCUAGGAAUCUGCCUGGUAGUGGGGGAUAACGCUCGGAAACGGACGCUAAUACCGCAUACGUCCUACGGGAGAAAGCAGGGGACCUUCGGGCCUUGCGCUAUCAGAUGAGCCUAGGUCGGAUUAGCUAGUUGGUGAGGUAAUGGCUCACCAAGGCGACGAUCCGUAACUGGUCUGAGAGGAUGAUCAGUCACACUGGAACUGAGACACGGUCCAGACUCCUACGGGAGGCAGCAGUGGGGAAUAUUGGACAAUGGGCGAAAGCCUGAUCCAGCCAUGCCGCGUGUGUGAAGAAGGUCUUCGGAUUGUAAAGCACUUUAAGUUGGGAGGAAGGGCAUUAACCUAAUACGUUAGUGUUUUGACGUUACCGACAGAAUAAGCACCGGCUAACUCUGUGCCAGCAGCCGCGGCAAUACAGAGGGUGCAAGCGUUAAUCGGAAUUACUGGGCGUAAAGCGCGCGUAGGUGGUUCGUUAAGUUGGAUGUGAAAUCCCCGGGCUCAACCUGGGAACUGCAUUCAAAACUGUCGAGCUAGAGUAUGGUAGAGGGUGGUGGAAUUUCCUGUGUAGCGGUGAAAUGCGUAGAUAUAGGAAGGAACACCAGUGGCGAAGGCGACCACCUGGACUGAUACUGACACUGAGGUGCGAAAGCGUGGG
rnacentral:rRNA from 1 species